UAGAUGCCACCUCCCAGGAAGUUCUUUCUCACUCUGACAAGCGCGCCAUCGCUGCAUGUCUCCAAAAACGUCCUGUGUGAAGCAUUUGUCAUGCUAUAGAUGCUCGUGGGUAAGGCAGUGCUGCCUCCUAGCACGUAGCGCAUACUCAGUGAAUACUUGCUAAGCAAUAAAGUAAGGAAAUAAGAGUGCAAACCGGAUGUUGCCUGGCCUCAUGGCACAUACGGUCCCCAACACAUCCCCUCCCCAACAAAUAAACAUAAUUAAAAAAAAUAGUCAGCCUGGCAGUGGUGGCACACGCUUUUAAUCCCAGCACUCAGGAGGCAGAGGUAGGUGGAUCUCUGUGAGUUCGAGGCCAGCCUGGUCUACAGAGCUAGUUCCAGGACAGGCUCUAAAGCUACACAUUGAAACCCCAUCUUGAAAAGCAAACCAACAAAAAAAUUAGCAAGAUGGGCAAUGCCAUGCAAGCUCAAUGAGGAUGGAAGUAAGGCAGGCUGGUGAUGACCGGUUGGAGAGGGAGCGAGUGCGAGCAACUAAGAGGGGUCAAGGGCCUGAAAGGUGGACUGGGGAUGUGGCUCAGUAGUAGAGCAAGUCCCUAUCACACUCAAGGCUCUGGGUUCAAACCUCAGCAGCAAAGUGGAGGAAAGGUGGAAAGAAAGAGAGAAGAACGGGAGAAGAGAUGAUUGGCUGAGUUUGUGUAAGAGAAAACCCUGGCACAGUCAGAAACAGAUGCAGGGCAGCAGAGCGCCAUGCCGGCUUCAACAUGCAGGACGCAGCGCAGGGCAGCAGAGCGCCAUGUCAUGUCGGCUUCAAUGCAGGACGCAGGGCAGCAGAGCAUCAUGCCGACUUCAAUGUGCAGGGGCCAGGAGCCUACAGGAUCCAGGACUUAACAGAAAAAUAAACCCUGGGUGUCUUCCCCUCUGAAAUGAGACAAAAACCAACUAACCAACCAGUGUCGUCUUUUAAGUAUUUCUCAGCAGAGAGAAGCAGGAGGAAGAAAGUCAGACUGAAAAUGUUGAUUAUCUUAGAUUAAGCAAGAGGGGAAGUUGUACACAGAAGUAGAACAGUGCUUGAGGGAACUGGGAGAAACAUAGAAAGGGAAUUCUGGAGAAUGUGGGGAGGGUGGGGGGUUUUCUGGGUGGAUCUGGCGAUGUAGCCUAGGCUGGUCUAGAACUCACAGCCCUCGCCUUGAUUUCACUCCCAAGAGCUGGGAUUGCAGGUGUGCGGCACCACGCCCAGUGUAAGGAGCAGCCUUGAACAAGCAGGAGUGAAAGCUAGAACAAGUAAGUCAGUUUACACUGGCAUGAAGCCAUGUGGGACUUUUUCCUCCGGCAGAAUAGAGAGAGAAAGUGUAGUGGCCUUCGUUCAGAGGUGGAGUUUAGGAAGACGGGAGACAAGGAAAGAAGGCCACUGUCAGGAUAAUUACUGAUAACAUGAUUAAAAGGAAAAGGGAGAACAAGCAAAGGGAGUGGAUCCUUGAACUGCUGGAGGGCGGCGGAGCAGAGAAGGCGCUGCUCAGUGAAAAACGGACGCUCUGUGAGUCUGAUAAAGCAAUUCCAGAACCUUCUGGUAUUUCCUCAACAGAGCAAAAAGAUGCUUCCUGACACACGCUGCCCAGUGCUGCGUUUGAGUGAGUCCUUCCCUGCAGGUUCCCGAGCCAUCCUCCUUCAUACUUCAAGGCAUAGAAUCAAGAGAGAUCGACAGUUUUAGUGGCUGAACUGGGUGGAAUAAAAGAGCGGGUUCUCCGGAUGGCCCUACAGAAUCCGCUGUCUUCGCUGUUCUUCACCUUGACCAGCCCUGCACUGCAGAGCAACCUCAAAAUGGGAGAGGAGCUCUUGGGGGAACCUAAGCGAGGACUAAUGCAGGAAAGUUCGCCAACGCAUCUCAAAGUCCUCUUUGGCUGAUAUCAAAUGGAGCCCAAUUUCUAAAGAGCGAGAAAAGAGCAGGAAUCUAAGAUGGAGACUAACCUUCCCGACUGGGCUGUGUUUGGGUCACCAGUGAGGGACACCCGGUGAGGUCAUGUUACAUUUCUCCUUCUGGGUUUGUAUUGCUGUGAAGUGUGCCUAGAGAAACAGAGCGGCAAGAGUCUAGUUAGCUUACUCUGUUACCCGCACGGCAAAGAAUUAUCCCAUCCAAAUGUCAAUAUUGGUAAGAGGUUGAGAAACGCAAGAAUAAAUAAACUGUUUCUAAAUCUCCUUUCUGCCAGAACCAAAUGAGGUUUUCCUUUCUUCCCAUCUUUUAAGCACACAAAAUCGUUUCUCUUCCCCUCAAAAUCGCUCAGCUGUGGGCCUGAGUCUCCAGAACAUCCCUUCCGCUUGUGGGCUCUGUGUUUCAGCUGCCUGACUUUAUGGCACCUUCCUAUCUGUGCAUGCUUCCGCCACUUCUUUCCCUCAAUUCUCCCACAGUAUCCCCAGGCAAACACUAAUCGAUGCUCUAUUUCUACACAGUUACCUUUUCUGAACCUUACACUCAUCAUGGAAUCAUAAAUACAUGUCCUGGGCUGGGCGGUGAUAGCGCACGCCUUUAAUCCCAGCACUUGGGAGGCAGAGGCAGGCAGAUCUCUGUGAGUUCGAGGCCAGUGUGGUCUACAGAGCUAGUUCCAGGACAGCCAGGGCUACACAGAGAAACCCUGUCUCGAAAAAACAAACAAACAAAAAAAACCUGCUCCUUUGUUGUGGGGUUCUUCCACAUAGCCUGCGUUCACUGUCCAUACAAGUUAUACCUACUUUUUAGAUGUUGUAAAUGUUGUUAUGAACAUUUAUAGUUAAGUUUUAUGCGGUCAUAUUUUUAUUUCUUUGGGAAUAUAAACUUAAGAGAAGAGUUGUUGGGUCGUAUGAUAGCUAGAUUUAGCCUUUGAGAAACUGACACCCUUUAGGACCGAGCCGAUGUCUCAGUGGAUAAAAGCACUUGCCAAGGAGCCUGGCAGUCUGAGUUCCAUGGCCAGGACACACAAGAAGGUGGCAAGCUGUCCUCUGAUCCCCACAUACCUGAUGUGGCACCUGCAUACCCACAUACAAAUUAAUAAGUAUAAUAAAAAUAAAGUAACGGAAACUGCCCCCUUCUUUCCCACAUAGCUGCACUCUUGCCAUCUCUGCCAACAAUGCAUGAGGGGCCCUGUGACAGCAUUAGUUUGAAUAGGAAUCUUCUCUCCCAUCCCCCACACAAGUGUUUAAAUUGUUUGAAAAUAAAGCUCCCCACCACCCCUUCCCCACCACCCCGCUCUGAAACAGCACAGCCAAGGACUGAGAGCCUUGGAACUGCCGGCUAAGAUAAAUCCUUCCUCUUCUAGUUUAUUCUCUCAGUUAUUUUGGCCAUGGCUAUGCAAAAACUAAUACAGCCCCAAGGUCCCCACUCCCUCAUGACCCCUGUCACUAUGUCUUGACUGUAGCCAAGGCAGAGGCUAUCUCGCGGUGUCCCAUCGCGGUUUCUAUGGGCAUUUUUCUGAAGGUUCCAGAGAGCGGGCGUCUUUUCCUGUGUUUACUGCUCAUUUCUGUUGUCAACACAAAUUCACCAGGAAAGGAUACAAGGUAAAAAGGGAGGCUUAGUUUCAAAUACGAGCAGUUCCCGAGCCAGGGAAAUUCAGACUUCGGCACAAAAUUAAAGCAUGUUUCAAGGAACAAAAUAAAAGGUUGGCUCAUAGGCCGGGCGGUGGUGGCGCACGCCUUUAAUCCCAGCACUCGGGAGGCAGAGGCAGGCGGAUCUCUGUGAGUUCGAGACCAGCCUGGUCUAAAGAGCUAGUUCCAGGACAGGCUCCAAAGCCACAGAGAAACCCUGUCUCGAAAAACCAAAAAAAAAAAAAAGGUUGGCUCAUGCUGAGGCCCACAUUCUCGCCCCCCAUCUGCUUAUGCAAAUUAGGCUGCAAACCCCAGGAAGUGCUCAGCCUCAAGGAGUUGAAGGGUCAGCACAGUUCAUUGGCCAGAUCCAGGAAGCCUCUCCGGUAGCUGUUUAUUUGGGCAGCUGAAACAAGAACAAGCCCAGGCAAGACACUCAAGGUUGAGUUUGAAUUUCACCAAGUAUUGUGAUCCCUCCGUCACUAAAUGGCCACCAAGCUUCCUUCUGAACUCAGACCCAGGGAACACUGGCUGCUCUUCUUGGCGUUCUGGCUUUUUAUUGAAGUUCACUGUGUGUCGUCUAUAAAUCUCUCUUCAGCUCUUCAUCCAUUUUCAAGCUGGGUGGUUUGCCUUUUUAUGUUACUGAGUUCAUAUCUAAAAACGCACAUAAACGCAUGAUUUGAACAGUUUCUACCAUUCUAUAAGUUUCUUGUUAGUAUUAUUUGAAUAAAAAAAGUUUAAGGUUGGGAGUAGGCUGUUUGGUUGGUUUUUUGUUUGUUUUUUCCUUUUUGAGAUAGGGUCUCCUACAGCCCAGACUGGCCCCAAACUCAAUACACAGUCAAAGCUGGCUUCAAAGUCCCAUCUGCCUACCUCCAUCUUCCGGAGUCAGGGAUCAAGACAGGGCCACUACACCCAGGAAGGUUUUUAAUCUGAUGAUGUCUGUUGUUCCUUUUGGAGACUACAGCUCCCAACAUCCUCCUAGACUACGGAUACCAGCACGCGCAGGCGCAGGACACUUCUCCCAGACGCCCUUGCGUUCCCCGUUAAAAACAGGGGUCUCCACGAGCCCCCUCUCUCUCCCCUUCUACCCUCUUGUCUCUGCACAGCUGUACCUUACCUGUUGUUACCCCUCCCCCAUUAAAGUGUACCCGCGUGGGACCGCCGCGUGUUUGUGUCUCCUUCCUAACCCCGCACCGUCGUGUGUCUUGCGUUCUGUCUCUACCCUCCACUCACCCGCAAAAAAAAAAGAAUAACAAUGUCUACCUUAUGCUGUCUUUGUUUCCCCUGCUUUGGCAUCUAAGAGACCACGUGAACCAAGAUUGUGGUAUUCUCUCCCAAGCGUUCAUCAUCUGAGGCUCAGCCUGGCCUCUGAUUCACUUUGUGCUCCUUUUUGUUUCCUGUGGAAUAAAAGUCUUUGCAUAUGGACUUAGUCCUGCCGCCUGCUGCUCUUUACCUGACGAUUUGUUCUGCCACCCAUGUUACAAGUGACCGUAAAAGGCAGUGUGGGAUGAGUUUCAGAAAACUACGUCUUUCAUUUCUACAAUGUUUAAAGAAGUACCUCAACGUCCUAGCUCAAGUUACGGUAACCCUUUUGACUAAAUAAAAAUGUUCAGAAUAGAAACCACUUCAAGGCUCUCUUGUUUCCUCAAAUCCAGUUAGAAAAUUCUACUUAUAUCUAGAUGUGGUUUUUCACCAGGACAGACCAUGAAAGUCAAUAAGCUGCAAAACUGAGUGUGUGCAUAAGGCUUCCCUAGUUGAUGUGUGUGCAUGUUUGUGUGCAUGUAUGUGCUCAUUUACCUUGAGUUCUACCACUGAGCUAUGCCCCCAUCUCCAGCCUUAACUUGUUAUAAAACUUAUAGAAAUUGAAUUUCUAUAUUCUAGUAUUUCUAUAUCUGUAGUAUUUCAGCCUAGAAUGCUAUUUUUUUAUUUAUUAUUUAUUUAUUUAAUUGUGUGUAUGUCGGCACAUGAGUACAGGUACCUGAGGAGACAAGAGGCGUUCAACCCCUCUGGAGCUUGAGUUACAGGUGGUUGUAAGCCAGCUGAUAAGGAAGCUCUUGGGACCUCUGCGAGAGCAGUAGACUCCCUUAACCAUUGAGUCAUCUCUCCGGACCCGAGAAUGUGUUUCUUGACUCAAAGAUCUCUUUCCAGCACUUUGGCAGGUGAGUAGGAGAAAUAAAACAUACGACUCUAAUCUCACAGGUGGAGUACAAGGGUUAUCUCCUCAAAUAAGAUAAGGCUCAGGAUGGGAACAUGGAUGUUGGUUUUAUUUGUUAAGUUUGUUGAUUUUCGGCAAUGCUGGGAGUUGUUCCCAGGGCCUCUGGCGUACCAGAGAAGGACUCUACCACGGGGCUGAAGCACCAAGGUCCUCUGCCUGGAUGGGACCUUGUUCUGGAUUGAGGGGUUUUUUUGUUUGUUUGUUUGUUUUUUGUUUUUUUUUUUUUGUAAACUGAUUGAUUCCCAUUCUAGAUCUAUUUUUAAUUUAAUUACUUUAAAUUCCAUUCUGACUUGAGUACUCAUAUCUAAUUUCUCUUUAUACUUAUGAGCAAUAGCUAAUGGUGUUUUGACAUUUAUACCGUAAAUAUUUUCUGUUGUUUGGAGUGCUGUAACAUUCUCCUUCAAAUGUGUGCAGACAUGGAACUUGGCAGUGAUGGAAGCUGAUUAAUGGAUGUGUCGGUUGUUAUCAAGGCCCAGUUAUUAAAGUCUACUUUAGAGUAAUUUAUUAACUCUCCUAUUUAAAAACAAAAGUCCUUUAUCAACUUCUACUUCCCAGAUGAGAUAGGGACACUAUUGACGGGAGGUAAUCACCUAUGUACUUUAGCUGCUGAACCAUGGGGCCAAGUAGGACCUGGUUUGAAAUUUGUUCAAGUUGAUGAGGGUGGGGAGAAGGGACCUUUGAAUCUUGUUACCUUUGCGAUACUGUCUCCUUACAUUUCAUAAAGUCUACGUUGUCUCUGUUCCAAAUCCUUCAAAAUCCUUCUGGGAUGCCAACAUCCCAGAAGCCCCCUCGGCUUGCAGCUUUGCCAAGCCCAAUUCUAGGAAGAGACAAGCUGGGACACUCUCCUCCUUGGGGGCCUGCCUUUCUAACAUGGGCCAAAUUCCCAGGCUGAGUGAGUCCAGAAGCUGGGCCUGUGUCUUCACAAGUACCCUGAAUAACGAUAUGACUUCACUCCGGGGAAGGGUCACAGGGCGUUGCUACCAUUCAAAUUCUAGUAUACACCCUAAACUUUUUAAAUCAAAUGGAUUCAUGUCCUAGCCAAAAAGGAGUGGCGCUCAGUCAUGGCCCAAAAGCAUGAGCCUGUUACAACAUCCUCGCAUUUUCUCAGGGCAGAGUGAAUAGGUGGAUUCUAGUGUAAUUAUCUUUGUGUAGCUGAAAGUUAAAUGACUGAUGAUAUUAUUUAAAUAUCUAUUUAAAUACCUUCCUCUUGUUACACUUAGUUUUGAACCACAUGCUACUAGCAAAUGGGCUACUAGUUUUCCUAGUAGAUUAGAAUCUGAACGGGAUUCUGAACAUGAAAAAUGAGCCUUGCUCCGAUAGGUACCUUCUCCAGGGACCAUGAGAGAGUUGUUCCGUUUACUCCAGCUCUUCACACGAUCUGCUGUUAUAAGACCUGGAAUAAUAUAGGCCUUGCCCUGAAGAGUAUAGAUACUAAAUAAUAAAGAGAGUACCUGUGGUGCUUGUCACUGUGUGUGUGUGUGUGUAUGUGUGUGUGUGCAGGUUCUAGAGGUCAAUUUCAAGUGUUAUUUCUCAAGUGCUUAUCUACUUUAUUUUUUAAGACAGGGUCUCUUAUUGAUUUAGAACUCACUAAAUUGGCUAGUCAAUAAACCCCAAGGAUCGCUUGGUCUCUCUCUGCCUUUCCAGCACUAGGAUUACAAGUGUGUGUGUGUGUGUCUUUGAGUCUAUGUAUGUGUUGUGUGUGUGUGUCUGUGAGUCGAUGUAUGUGUAUGUGUGUGUGUGUGUGUGUCUCUGUGUGCAGGUCUGUGAGUCUGUGUGUGUGUGUGUAUAAGUGAGUGAGUAUGAGUGAGUGUGUGUGUAUGAGUGAGCGUGUGUGUGUCUGUGUGAGGGUCUGUGAGUCUAUGUAUGGGUGUGUAAGUGUGGUGUGUGUGUGUGUCUGUUCUAAGGCUUGAACUCAGAUUUUCAUGCUUACUGGCCAAGAUUUUACUGACUGAACCAUCUCCUUAGCUCUAGUCUCCAAAUUUUAACAUCCAUGUACAUCAUCUGACAAGGUCAUGUUACAACACAGGCUGUAAUUUGAUAGGGCCUGAGGUCUGAGAUCUUACAACACUAUCCCUGGAGUGCCGAUGUUGCCAGUGGGAGUCGUGCCUAGAAAAGAAGGCGUGAGCAGACCAGAAGGCAUUAAACCAGGACCUGCAAACACACCAGAGGUCAGGUUCCCGGUCUAGAUGGACUUUUUCUAACAUCCACUCCAAUUGUGUACCCCCAAGCGUCAGUAAGUCCUCUUCAGCCAUCAUGCAAUUUUUCUUUGGGCUUCUGAUUCUCGGUGCUCAUGUUUGCUACUUUGGGCACUGUUUUCUAUGGGAAAGCUGGGUAUAAGAGCCUUAGGCUGGCAAGUUUUUGUUUCCAGUCUUUCACCAAUCUACUUUGAUCCAUGGAAGUCUUGGCUGGGGACAAUGUCAUAAUGGGCUGGGAUCAUAAACUAGACUUGUGCCACUAGUGAAGGGUUUUGGUAAAAUAAGCAACUCAGGAAGAUGUUCCAAAAGGAAAGGAUAGGGAAUGCUACCAGAAUAGGGAGUCUUCCUGUGGCAGGGCAAGAUGGUGCACAGGUGCCUCCAUCUUGUUUUCUUGCUAAGGCCAUUUUAGGUUUGACUAGAAUUUUAUCUUCUUGGUAAGAAUCCCCAUGGAAAAUCAGCCAACUCUAUUCUAGGAAUCCAAGGUCAAGAUGGCCCAGCUAACUUACCUUAGCUUCUCUUAAACUGCUUGCUUGUGCAGAAACCCCCUCCCAGCUAACUGCUCAUCUCGGCUUUUGUUAAACUGCUUGCUUUUCCAAACUUCCCCUGAAGCUGCCAAUGGAGAUACCAGGUUGUGGUUUUUACCUUCAAAACACUGGCCGCUUUCUCUAAACAUUGGCACUACACUUGGGUCCUGGAUACAUGAGUAGUCUCAGCCAGCUGGAAUAAAGACUUUCAGUUGGCUCUCCACUGUGUUUGCGUGGUCCUCUCUGGAGGGUUCCCUAUUGUACUUAAUGAGUCCCACGGGUGGAAAGAACUGUGGGGCACGUAGGGAAAAGUAAAGGCACCUGUGCUGCUUACCCGUGAAGAGAGCACAAACCGUGUUCUGAGACUUGCUAUUGAGUGGCAGCAGAAGCCAGCAGAUCUGGUGGCAUGCAAGGCUGUAUGGCACAUCAGGCAAAGUCAGGCUCAUUUUCUCCUGAAACAAUGAUGGCCCUAGAUGGUAGAAUUUCAAGUGCUAGUUCCCUUUUCCGGAGAUUCCUGGAAUCAACCACCAGCUACUAGCUAGCUACCCAUCAGCUUGUGGGCUGCACUCACCUCACAACUGCCAUUGGAUACCAGUUACCAUGUGCUCCAGGAACCGCAAGAAGGGCAGGAAAGAGCAGAAGUCAGAGGCCGUCCUUAAGCUUCCUGUUCAGAUCACAUGGUUACACUCUAGAAGUCAUGGAGCUGUCUACAGAGCCACUGUGGACAUCACUGCCACUUAUGGCCAAUGGCGUUGGUAGGAGUGGAGGCCCAGAAAACCCCAUUUGACAUAGCAAGCACAUCAGCAGCUGCUGUGACCCCCACAGCUAGGGAAAACCCCUCUCAUCUUCCUUUGGCCUUCCAACUCUCCCAUCAUUCCAUCUGGCUGGCAAAAUCCCAUCUAGAAUUCUCUAGGCAGGGCAGCCUAAGAACAACAGUGUUCUUGUCUUAACUGCAAAUCACUUUGCACUGACGUAGAACAUCCGCACAUCCACAUGUUCAAGCCAUAGUCAGGGAGAUUCACGAAUUUUCAUAAAACAAGCACACCCCUAUGUAGCCAGCACCUAGCAAGGGGAUAAACACUCUCAGAAAACCAGAAGCCACUGCUUAUUCCUAAGCCUUAUCUCUCCUCAAAUCACUUAAGGGGCUGGGGUAGCUGAGUGGUAGAAACAAGGCCCCGGAUUUGAUCUCUACUACCCAGCAACAAGCAAUCUAAUCAAUGAUGCAAAGGUGAGCCGAAUAAAUAGUGCUCAAAAAGAAGUGCUAAUGGUCAGUAAAUAUAUACACAAGAAGUUCAACGUCCUCAGUCAACCAAACAACACUGAGAUCCCAUUUCACCCCAGUCAGAAUGGCUGUCCUCCAGAGAACAAACAGCAGAUGCUGGAAAGGAUAGAGGAGGUGAGUCCUUAAACAUGGUUGGUAGGAAAAUAAUUAUUCCAGCCAUUAUGGAGGUUUCCAAAACAAAGCAGAGACUCUGUUAUAUUAUCCAGCUGGUCAGUUCCUUCAGAUACCCAAAGGAGGCUGGGUCCAAAUGUCACAGAAAGACCUGUGCACCCACGUAAUCGCAACAUUAUUUCACAACCGUCACGUUGUGAAAUCAGCCUGGGUGUCCAUCAACAGAUGAGUGGAUGAAGAGAAAUGCGAUCACCUGGCAUGGUGGCGCAUGCCUUAAAUCCCAGCGCUUGGGGGGCAGAGGCAGGCGGAUCUCUGUGAGUUUGAGGCCAACCUGGCGGUCUACAAAGUGAAUUCCAAGACAGCAAGGGCUGUUACAUAGAGAAACCCUAUUUCCAAAAAGAAAGGAAGGAAGGAAGAAAGGAAGGAAGAAAAAGAAGGAAAAAGAAAAUGAAGAAAGAAAGAAAGAAAGAAAGAAAGAAAGAAAGAAAGAAAGAAAAAAUGGGAUCUAUACAUUCAAUGGAGUAUUAUUCCCAAAAACAAAUCAUAUCAUUUACAGGAAAAGGGUAGAACUGGGAGUCAUCACGUUAUAUGAAAAAAGCCGGGCUCAGAAAGACGCAUGCAACAUUUCUCUCGUAUGAAGAAUCUAUGAAAGCAGAAUGGGAAUCACGUGAGGGAAAGGAAAGGAACCUGUGAGAAGGAAGGGGAUAGAAGACAACAGAGGGGAUGAAAAUGAUCGACGUACAUUACAUACGUGUGUGAAAAGCGUGGUGGAGCCGCCAUCCUGUACGAUUAACACGUACUGGCAAGCAUGAUGGACAGCUGGACUCUGGAGUUCCCAGGCCAUAGGCUGAUCUUGCCUACUUGAGACCCGUAAGUGAAAUGGUACAAUACAGAACACACCUUUGCCUGACUGACGUUUCUCACCCAACAUCCUGUUGGCCAAAUGUGCCCAUGCUGCCUUGUGGGAGGCUGGUUUUGUGAGCUCUAGGUCAGUAGAAGAACUUGUUUUCAGCGUGAGUGAUGCUAGGUUUCAUCCACUAAAUCAUAAAAAAAUGUGUAAAGUAAGAAGAUUUGUUCCCAGUGGAUCUUAGCAGUUUCAGAAUAGAUUUUUUUUCUUCCCUCUUCUUAAGUCUUUACAUUUCGUGUAAAGAAACUCCAUGGAGUUGAGAGUGUAGCUCAGCUGGUUAGCAGAAACAAAGCCUAGGGUUUUUCACCAGCACCACAUAAGCUGGGCGUGGUGGUCAACGCCAGUAACCCCAACACCCAAGAGCUGGAGACGGAGAAGACUUUCAAGGUCAUUCCUGGCUACGUAGCUAGUGGGAGGUCAGCCUGAGUUGACAGAUUCGCUGCUUUCUUGCUUUGGAACUCCUAUCAAGUAAAUUAAGAGCCGCCGAACAUGAGCGAUGUGGCAUCCUGGAUUCAGAGUCACUAGUCUGGCCACUAGUAACUAACCCAC